UACGGAGGGUGCGAGCGUUGUCCGGAAUCACUGGGCGUAAAGGGCGCGUAGGCGGUCCGGUAAGCGCGUGGUGAAAGCCCGGGGCUCAACCCCGGGUCGGCCGUGCGGACUGCGGGACUGGAGCACUGUAGAGGCAGGCGGAAUUCCGGGUGUAGCGGUGGAAUGCGUAGAGAUCCGGAAGAACACCGGUGGCGAAGGCAGCCUUCUGGGCCAACACUGACGCUCAUGCACGAAAGCGUGGGAGCAAACAGG
rnacentral:rRNA from 1 species